rnacentral:lncRNA from 1 species
CUGGAUCUUACAAACGAUGCUACGCACCCCGCAAGGCAGGGGCCCCCCUUGACCGUGAAAGGCAGGCAGAACUCAGUGAGGAUAUUUCAGACAGCACUUGAAAUUAAUAUUUUAUGUACACAUACACACACACACACAUACAACACACAAAAAGACAAUAAGAGGAAAAAAUUUUGGGAAAUUUGCUGUUCAUGUGACUUUCUGCAAGGACACAGAACACACUUGUUUCCAAAGUUCCAAAGGUCUGGGUUCCCUCCCCAGUGCAUCUGGUCUCUGAACAGUCCAGUCACCCUCGGCCCCACCCCGUGUCCUAAGGCAGCCAGCCGGCUGGGCCCUGAAUAGCACAGAGCUCUGGUGGUGAGGGAGAGUAACUUGUCUUGGCAGGAUGGGGAGAGAGAAUGACGCACAUAACAGCGAGUGGAAAUCUGAGAAACGACAGAAGACUUCAGUUGAGAAACCAUCCCACCUGCCUCUGCACGCAAGAGCUCUGGGCGGGGUUGGCCAUGUGACCUGGGUCUAAGCCAAUCAGAGCAUCUCACAGCAUCACCACAGUGACUGAGCUCUGGACCCCGUGGGACUCUCUCCUGCUGCUCAUGAACCUGAGAGAAUAUGAGGCUGGAGCUGUUGCAGAUCCUGAGGGGAGGGCCUGCCUGCGAGGGUGCCAACUUAGGGGACACUGAGUCAACAACUGGACAAGGAGCAACCAGCUUCUGUUGGCAUCACGUGACCCCAUGCGGAAAGCCUGCCUGAAACUGGCCCUGUCUCUAGACUUCUCCAUGCCUUGUGCCCAUCAGAUGCUCUUGGGUUGACACAGCAUAGUUGAGAUUUCUGGCAUACGUGACACAGAGUCCCAACUGGUCCAGAAACGUAACAAGUCUGCUUAUAAAAUAUAUCUGGGCAACUGAACCCCUUUCCUUCUCUUCCCAAGUCCCUAUCUUGGCCCACACCAUGGGAACUUCCUGGGAAAGCAUGGAGGAGCAUGCUUGAGCCCAAACGUCCAUCCCUCACUCUCUCCUCUCCACAAGAGGAAAGACCCACACUAGUGGGGCCGGCGGAGUUGGAGUUGAUGGUUCAAGGCAGGGCUGAUGCCUCCCGGCCAGUCACGGCUCCUUCCAGCUCUACCCACAGAAAGCAGAUUAGAGGUUACCAGGGGCUGGGGCAGAGGGAGUGGGGAGUUAUUGCUUAAUGGAUACAGUAUCUAUUUGCAGUGAUGAAAAAGUUGUGAAAAUAGAUAGUGAUGAUGGUUAUACAACAUUGUGAAUGUACUCAACGUCACUGAAUUGUAUGGUUUAAAAUGGCAAGUUAUAUAUAUGUAUACAUUUAUAUAGACAUACUUAUAUAUAUAACAUAUCCAUUAAAAAUUUACCAUAAUAAAAG